CCUAAUUAUAAAUUGAUAAAUACAUGUAUCAACAUAGUAUUACAUAGAUAGCUAUUUCUAACAAGGUUACUAUAUAUCAAAUAUUUCAAAAUGAGAUCAAUUCUACGACUUUUGUGGAUUAGAAAAAGACAUGCACAUAUUGGUAAGUUAAUUAUUUUUUUUAAUUAAACAGUUAAAUGGUUGCCCAGUUAUGGCCGUCGUAUUGUUAGUGCCACUAGUACCCACUGACAAGAACAUACUUAUACCUCUCUUUUACACACAGUUUUUAGAAAUAUUUUAGAACUUGAUUGAUUUUACAAGUUCUAGAUUAGGUUCAUAGAGUUGUCGGACGAUGAAAUCAAUGUGUAUGAUUUUCAAAAAAGUGCAUGUUUAUAUAUAUGAAGGUUUAUAAAGUGAACAUUUUAUUAUAUGUGGCAAUCUAUGAGAAUUUGUGGAUGAAUUUGACUCUAAUAUUUUGGACACAUGGCUUAAAAUGAUUUAAAUGAUGACUGUGACAAAGAGACUGUAUCAUAGUAAAUAGGAAGCGAGUAAUGUAUAAGUUUAAAGGUCUGAAUGAGGAGUCUUUAAUUCUGAAUUCUUUAAUGUUCCAAGCCAUUUUCCUCUAGUUUUGUGCCUGUUAUUCUUCAUUAUUUAUAUUUUAGCACCUCUCUAUUCCCAUUUCCUUAUUUUUCGGUCCUUUUCUCUAUUCUGUACUGAUUUGCCCAUAUUUUCUGUCGUACUGGCUCACUAUUCUCUAUUCUGAAAAUCUAAUCCAGACCCUCAAGUAUUCUAUUACAUGUAUACACAUUUAAGUCGAUAUUGUAGAUUAAACUUUAAAGUCAUAUAAUGGAGAUUGUAAAAAAAGGUUACACUCAUGUGGCUUCCUUGUGUCAUGUAAUGAACGUUUAUAUGGGAAGGAAACAAACAUUUUACAAGUGCUUUAUAAAUUUUAUAUUCAACCUUGUCAGUCAUUUUGUAUGAAUAUAUAUUGAGUAACUUUAUAGUAUAAUUCUUAUUCUGUCUUUUAAAACAAAAUGCAAGUAAUUAUAACAGGGGUUUUCGUCGUUCCUGUUAUAUUUAGAAUUCGGGGGGAAAGUCACUGGAUAAAGUCAACAAAACUAAGUUAAGCUUUACAUAUAUAACUUCUUCAAUAGUGCAAAACAUUAAUUACAAUAAAAGUUCAACGGUAAAUAUUCCGGAAAGAUACAACAAAUGGUAAUUCCAAUAAAUGUUCUAUACUAAACACAAUGAAUGUCACUGUAAAUGCACGGCGUCCGUACAGCUUGACCGCUGGUAUCCAACUGACCAUUUACAUAGAAACAAUAUAAAAUGAAUUACGUAAUCUUACUUAAUCAUAACUACAUGUACUAAUGAAAUUUGUCACGUAAUGCUAUAAACGAAUAAUACAAUUAAAAACAUAUAUACGAUAACAAGAAAUAGACAAUGCUAAGAUUAAAAUGGAUUAACUUCUUAACAUGUAAGCUGACAAUUUUGAGAACAAUAGUAUCUUGCUUUAAGAUAAAGUUUGAAUGUCCACGAAAUAAACAAAGCGGAAAAUAUCGCUGUCACAUAAUUAUAGAUUAUCGUUGAUCAUCUCAACGAGAUUGAUUUUCUCGCUUGAGUCGGGACGGCGAAAGCGAGAAAGCAAAUCGAGUUGAGAUGACCGAUGAUUAAUCUGUUUAUCGCUAUUUUACCUAUGACGACGUUGUCAAUUUUAUGUCAAUUUCAUUAGCAACGCCACGUGCCUCUUUAGUUUCUAGCGAUUAUUUUCCAUCUCAAGCGAGUAGCAUGAUAUGAAAAAUUAUCACAAAAAAAGAUCAUAGGAAAAAUGCACAAAAUAGCUUUACAUUAUAUUAUAUGAAAAAGUGCGUUUAGGAUGAUAAUAGGACAUGUUAGGUAUGAAGUAAGUUUGAAAAACUGUUAAGUUGAUUGGAAGCAAUGGAAAUAAAGUCUGAUUUCAAAUUGAUAAUUAUAAAAUUCUUACUAGUGAUGUGUUAUUAGAUUCUUCAACAUUGUUAAGAGUAUGGUUUAGUGAUUUGUAAAUGAAUUAUUAAUUUGCAUUAGUGAAUUAAUAGAACUGAUAUUGGAAAUAAUUUUAACAAGUGCGUUUACAUAUGGACCUUAUGGAUAAUAAUGAAUCAUUCUCUAUGUCAUCUGACCCCAAGGGUUGACUAUAUGAUAUAGAAGUAUGGUCAUCGCUGAACUUCUCCCGUCCGAUAGGAGUCCCAAUGGUUAAAGUGGUGCACCCGUUUGGUUGUGCGGGAUGCACAAAUACGCAGCAACGUUUUGUCGAAAUGCAAGUAUCUGCGAUGCAUUGUAUAUAUAGGAUGAGUACCUAUAUACGAUACAGACCACUAGCCAAAAAAUCUCCGAGGGAGUCCAUUUGUGGCCUGUUGUAAGGCAAUAUUGCUGCCCCUUAAAAUAUAUCCACAUUUUUCAGUUGUAGGCCAUAUUUCCCGCCCUCCACGCCAUUCAAUAUUCACGCAUACUUUACAUAACUUACUUGCUGUAGAGUAUUGAUUAGUAUUGUCCUUACGCAUAAAAUAUUUGCCACUGAACGUUAAGUAAGUAGCAAUCAAUAGUAUUAGAACAAUCAACGGAAAAAUACAAUUUUACAUUAGUUCUUGAUUUAACAAUUACUUAAUCUGAUAUAUUAUGUUUCAUAAAACAAAUGAUCUAUAUAUUUUUUUUAAAUGCAAGCAUAUACUUCAUGUUUACAAAUGUAUACGAGAGCUAGAGGCAGGGCCAAAAACCGAAAAACGACGAAAUGACAAACAUCAGUCAACAAAACAUAACACAAUAUAUAUUUUUUUAUCAAAUGUCCAAUAGGUAACCAUAUAUAAAUAUAAGUAGAUGUGGUUUUUGGUGACAAUGAGACAACUCUCCAUCCAAGUCACAAUUUGUAAAACUUAACCGUUAUAGGUCAAAGUACGCCCUUCAACACGGAGCAUUGGCUCACACCAAAAAGCAAGCUAUAAACGGCCCCCAAAAUCACCAGUGGAAACCCAAUUGCUACAUAUUUAUAUACACUAUAUCGUCCAUUCUUUAUUUUAACCAAUCUGCACAACUCGCCCUCCCAUUUCUUUAGUAUCGAAUUCAUAACAGUGUGGCUAUGGACAUUGAUUGGCGCACUUUAAUAUCCCAUUGACUGGGACAGAUUAGGUGAACGAUCGUCUAUAACGCCCAUUGCUCACGACGUCCUUAAUAUAAACAUUUAAACCGUGGGGUCACCAAAGGUUCUCAACGCCUAUAUAAAAUAAUUCGAAAUACUAAUCAGGAAUUUGUGUUUUGAUUUAUAUUGAUUAAUUAAACGUCCUUUACUUGUGUUUUUGUUAUGUUUCGACAAUCAAUUUUCAUAAUAAGAUAUCGCAAAGCCAUGUUAUUUCAGAAAAAAGAAUGACUUACUGAAUGCAUGUAUUGAUUGAUUAUCUUUUUCGGAUUUAACAAUUGCGAUUGUCGAGUUAUGUAUGUAAUCUUUUAACUUUUAUCUGGUCUAAUUUUAUUUUAGAACGAAUGCAUAAUCCACUUUCAAAAGUUGUGCAAAUACGAAACAUAAAGACAAAAUAUACUUCUGCCCUGUCUUUUUCGUACUUGAAAGUUAUUGGAUAGUAAGAAAGCUAUUUUGGAUUAAACCUUGUGAAAUUUGCAUGCAUUUACGUUAUUGUAUUGGCAAAAUGUAUCAUUUGGUGUAUAUAGGAAACUUAAACCGUUCUGCUAUACUGCUACUAUACUUGUGAAAAACACUUGGCAACAGAAACGCAUUCAUCUUAUCUAUAUAAAAAAAAUCGACCCAAUUUACAUAGAAAUGGACGUCUUCGUGCAUUUGUGAUCGCAAAUAAAAUAUGUUCCGGACCUUAUGAGUAUUUGGACCAUACGUGUAUGGUUGGACCAUAUUAGUAUACCCUUAUGGUCAUGAUAUAUGCGUAUGGUCCAAAUACUGAUAUGGUCCGGAACACAUACAUGAUAUUCUGUGCGUUGUCGGUCGUCUAUUAAUUUUUUUCUUUUGUUGAUGGAUUUGACGUCUUUCUGUGAGUGAUUAUUUGUUCAUGACUUAAAACUUACUUGCAAAUAAUUUAAAAACAAGACUUGAUUUACAAAAAUGUCCAAACAAACCAUGAUUUUUUUUUAAACAUACAUCACAUCCAUUGCAAAAGGCUAAAAUUCGCCAGGUCUUUAAUUUCAACUAAGUGAGUUGACUAAAUUAAUGUUGCGGACCAUUUUCCAAUUUCCAUGCGGUAUCCCUAUUUUUUUUUUCUCGCUCAUCUUUUAUGUUGUUUUUUUUUCAUCCCAAGACCUCUUGGAGCUUUCAUUCUAUAAAGUGUGUAUUUUGCUAAUGGUCGAAGGCCAUACGGGGACCUAUAGCUUGAUAACGCCUGUUGGUCCCUGGAAAGAAUGUGUCUGAUUGUCUAUCACACUUCAUAUUCUUAUUUUAACAUGCAGUUAUAUCUAUGAUAAGAAUGAAAAUUGAAUUGUCAUUGAGACAAAAACCCAACCAAAGAGCAAAAAAAAAAGAAAAAAAAAAGCCCAAGGCAACAUGUAGAUCUUUCGUAUCAAGGAAUUGCUAUAAAUAUAUUUAUUUCAGGUAAAUAGUAUUAGGCCAUACUCAAGUUAUAAAAUAGAUCUUGUCGUCAACUUUUGCAACCAGCUUCUAUGUUUCUAUAAUGCACUGUUCAUCUUUUUUGGGCUUCGACUUUUCCAUUGGACAGACAAUUUUGUUUUCGACUGUUUUAAAAAGAUGCAUUUUUUUUACAAAAUCAUACAAGUAAGGAGUCUCUGGCCUUUGGUAGUGUUGUAUGUUAAUUAAUGUUUGUUUAUUUAUUUGUUUAGGAAAUAAGUAUGACGUACAUUUUCACUGAACUAGGACACUUUUUAUAAUAGUUUUUCGAUAUCUCUCGGGCAAAAAUAAUCACGAAUAUAAUGCCUACCCAUGCAUUGAAAAAAAAACGGGUAUAAACUACACAGUGCAGCUUCCAACAAGAAUACAAGAUUUAUUGACUUUCAAAAUGCGACCAAAAUUAAAAAUUUGCUCGCAGCGGAAAAAAAUCAACAGUUUGAUUUUCAUUGAAAUAAAAUAAUUGUUAUGAUUUACACACCGUUACUUUUUCCAAUAUAAAUAUUCGAACUAUUUUUGUUUGUUGUUUCCUUUAUAAAUUUACAUCAUUUUUAAAAAGACCACGCGUCUUCGAUAUUUAGAAGACUAUAAAAGCGAUGUUCAUUAUCUUUCUUCUGCUGUAAGUUUAAUUUAGUUAUUUUGUGUCAUAAUUGCCAUCUCGUAUGUUUUAAAUUUGAAUAAAGAAGAUUCAGGUUGUCUUAUACGUCAAUGAUACACACAAAAAAACACGAUAACAAAUAAAAUAAGGUGCAACAUUCAUUCUCCAUGAAAAGAAUACAUCACAUGGAUGUAAUUUUUGUAAGAAAAAUACCAAUUUCGUGAGAAGUUGUGUGUUGGACUUGAAGAGCCAAGGCAAACUGACAAAAAUCUGAAUGAACGAAUCGAUUUAUGGUAUAUAAAAAAAAAACAAAGCCCACAUGGUUAGCAUUGAAUAAAUACAAGGCCACUCUUAAAUGAUCACAACGUAGAAGUUUUUGUUCUCUUAAUCAAUAAGAUAUUUUCUGAAAUAACGCGGGUCCCUAUUAACUUAAAAGUUUUUUUGGUUUUUUUUUACCAUGAAUAAACUUUUUUUUUAUUAUUAUUUAUUGAUAUCAGCUCUGGACAUUAAUAUUCUUAAAAGUGAAACUGUUGUAAGUGAUGGUAUAACAAUUAUUUAAAAUAAAUUCCUUAAAUGAUUUGUGAAAAGAAAGUUUCAUUUUAUGUAUCAAAAUUUGUAACAAAUGAUUAUUUAAAUCCCCACUUGAAGGCCUCCGAUAGACUGAGUGAGCAUAAAAUCAUCGCCCACGACAAACAAGUUAAGGGUAAACUUUUCAGUACAAUUACUAAUAAACGUUUUACUGUCGACCACACUGUUAUGAAUUUCGUUCUAUUUUGUCCAGUAUUAUUACUGUAAGUAUAUCAUGUGCAAUCAUAUUUUUUUUGGUAUUUCAGUACGAAGACAUGUUGGCAUGAGUUAUAUGCCUAGGUUUUGAGAUAAAUUAUGCAGAUUUGCGACAGAAAAACAUUACAUUACAUGUAAGUAGCAUAUUAAACAAGUAUAUUCUGACAAAGAAUCCGGACAUCAGGAUUAUAAGAUGUAAGAAACAGUAUCUUGUUUCAUUAUGGUGUUAACUGUUGAGAACAGCUUUGUAGGAGCCUGUUGUUUAGUGGUUGUCGUUUGUUGAUGUGGUUCUUAAGUGUUUUCCGUUCUUUUUAUAUAGAUUAUACCGUUGGUUUUCCUGUUCUAAUUGUUUUACACUUGUCAGGGCCCUUUAUAGUUUGCUGCAUGUUCGAUGUGAGCAAAUGCUACGUGUUGAAGGCCGUACUUUGACCUUUAAUUGUUUAUUUUUUAUUCAUUAUGACUUGGAUGGAGAGUUUUUACGUUGGCACUUAUGCCACAUCUUCUUAUCUAUAUAAGUAAGAGCUAUCUAUUUUAUAUUGAUCUGAUAAUAUGAAUCUAGCUCUUCUCAAUAGAUUUUUAUAGUUAGUUAUUAUGUUACAUACUAUUACACCACUGUCACAGGUUAAGGGAGCUUUUGCGGGUUUAUCGUAUGCACAUUACGCAAGCCGUUGGAUUUAUCGUUUGAAUUGUUUUUCAUUUGCCAUUUCGGAUCCGUUCCCAGCUUGCUGUGUGGCAUUUUCUCAUAUUUGAUAGCGUGUGGUGACCUAUAGUUGUCAACAUCUAAGUUAUUUGGUCUUUGUUGGAGAGUUGUCUCAUUGGCAAUUCAUACCGCGUCUUCUUAUUUUUAUUUAUUUUUAGACAAAAAAAAAAGAUGAAUUGAUUGUUAUAUAGGAAGCAAGAGUUUUGUUAAUCAUUAUAGUAUUUUUUUUUAAAAUGAAUCAAGAUACAAAUCAGUAUGUCAACUUGCUGUACAGUUUGAACAGUUAUGGACAAUCAUUGGCCUAUAUUAUGUUGAAGAUGAUAUUUUAGCAUUGCACAAGGUUAUACGAUAUGUGUACACCAUCGGAAAGUAUAAAAAUUAUUUGUACGAGCUUUAGAAACAUUUCGAAAAGCGAGAUUUUCUCCUGUUUCUAAAGCUCUUAAAAUACAGUUUAUAUUUCCGACAAAUGAAUGUAUACAUUGUUUUGUCCUGCAAUUUAAACGCAGAACUCGAUUCAGUAUGAAAUAUUCACUUAACCAAUUGCUCAACAUGGCAGCAGAGUAACAGAAGAAAUUUUGUUAUACACGUACAAAAUAAAGCAAAAAAUUAUGUAUGUAACACUGUACCUCUAAUUUGUACAAAUUGAAUAGUCCAAUUGCAGGAUUGAUAAUUUUCUUUGGCUGUUUAUGACGUUUUUACACUAAUUCCAUUGGAAGUGUACUACUUUAUGUUUAAGUUUGAUGAACAUGAUUUAUAUGUUAUUUGUUGAGCUUCGACCUAUACUACUGUAGGUAAGUCUCUUGGAUCAAUGCGAUUCACUUUUUGUCUAUUUUAGCUCAAAAUUUUGUAUAUAUUUUUAACCACUGUGGUCAGCGGGAAAGAUAUGCGCUCAGAACAAAAUGAUAUAUCUCGCCACAUUGUGUAUGUACCUGCCAAAAGUCAGGAUUGUUAACUUCCCAUUUCUUAUCAGUAACAUAUAAACCCCGUCGUACGGCGUUUACAUAUCUCAAAUGUAAAGUUUUGCUAAAAAAAAGUGAAAUCACAAAGACAGUGAACUCCCGAUGAAAAUUUCAAAAAGGAAAGUUCGUAAUCAAAUGGCAAAAUCAAAAGCAAAAACACAUCAAACGAAUAGAUAACAACUCUCAUAUUCCUGACUUGGCAUAGUCAUUUUUUAUGUAGAAAAUGGUGGAUUAAACCCAGUCUCAUCGAAUUUAACUUAUAUUGACCACGAUGUUUGAAAAAAAAACCAGACAUAAUAGGUAAAAAUAGAACCUAUUGGCACUUUAAUUUACAGAUGAAAUAUGUGUUCUUCAUUUUGCAACUUAGGUUUAUCAUUUCACAUGUUUGAAGUUGCAAACGUAUUCCCUAGGUUUCAGCACGUCUUGUACCUGCAAAAAAGUGUAAACUCUGAUCUCACAUGAUUUGCAAUGUCGUUGAUACGGACAAGGAACAUGACUGGUCCGAUUCUGUUCCCUGGGGGACUCUUAAAAGUACAACCGAAUCGCCUGGUUUACUUCCAUUUACAACUUUGCAUGUGACGUGUUUGUCAGGAAUGAGUGUAUUUAGUUCAUGAUGGGUGUUUUUGGUACGCCAUAUUUGUAGAGUUUGCUUUAAGUAGUUCGAGUUUCUCGUUUUUUAUAUAGAUUUGACUGUUGGUUUUCCUGUUUGAAGGGUUUUACACUAGUCAUUUUUGGGCUCUCUAUAGCUUGCUGUUUGGUGUGAGCCAUGGCUCCUUGUUAUAGACCGUACUUUGAUCUAUAAUGAUUUACUUUUACAAAUUGUGACUUGAGUGGACAGUUAUCUCAUUGGCACUCAUACCACAUCUUCUCAUAUCUACUUGUUGUAUGUUCUUUCAGGUCUAGAUUUCCUCGGCGCUGUACAUUUCGAUGUGUCCAUAACUAUGUCUUCGGGAUCGCUAUCCUGUGUAUGAAUGUUCGUGAAAUGGCCAGGUAGUGUCGUUAUUAUAAGAUUCUGUUGGGUUGGAAAUAGCACAAGACGUGAGGGA
rnacentral:lncRNA from 1 species